UCCGGUUUGGCACCGGCAGUCUCCCCAGAGUCCCCACCACCCCCGAAAGGGCGUGCUGGCAACAUGCGACAAGGGUUGCGCUCGUUGCGGGACUUAACCCAACAUCUCACGACACGAGCUGGCGACAGCCAUGCACCACCUGUACACCGACAAAAAGGGCCCCCAUCUCUGAGGGUUUCCGGCGUAUGUCAAACCCAGGUAAGGUUCUUCGCGUUGCAUCGAAUUAAUCCGCAUGCUCCGCCGCUUGUGCGGGCCCCCGUCAAUUCCUUUGAGUUUUAGCCUUGCGGCCGUACUCCCCAGGCGGGGCGCUUAAUGCGUUAGCUGCGGCACGGAACCCGUGGAAUGGAUCCCACACCUAGCGCCCAACGUUUACGGUGUGGACUAC
rnacentral:misc_RNA from 1 species